CAGGGUGUAGCUAUAAUACAAAGCAUUCAGCUUACACCUGAAAGAUACCUAUCUCCACCAGGUCACCCUGA
rnacentral:tRNA from 1 species